rnacentral:rRNA from 1 species
UGCGUAGGUGGUUUGUUAAGUCUGAUGUGAAAGCCCUGGGCUCAACCUGGGAACUGCAUUGGAUACUGGCUUACUAGAGUGCGGUAGAGGGGUGUGGAAUUCCCGGUGUAGCAGUGAAAUGCGUAGAUAUCGGGAGGAACAUCUGUGGCGAAGGCGACACCCUGGACCAGCACUGACACUGAGGCACGAAAGCGUGGGGAGCAAACAGGAUUAGAUACCCUGGUAGUCCACGCCCUAAACGAUGCGAACUGGAUGUUGGGAGCAACUUGGCUCUCAGUAUCGAAGCUAACGCGUUAAGUUCGCCGCCUGGGAAGUACGGUCGCAAGACUGAA